rnacentral:ribozyme from 13 species
UCUUCUUCUUCCUCUUCUUCUUUUUCCUCUUUUUCCUCUUCUUCUUCCCUUGGUGAUAAUUUUUCAAAUUCCGGUGAAGAAACUGACGUUCUCCCUUCUGUUUCUGGAGGUUCUUGUCCGACAUUUGGAGGGUAUUCAGGAAGAGAAGAAGAUGAUGACUUUCCUU